rnacentral:rRNA from 1 species
AUUGAACGCUGGCGGCAUGCCUUACACAUGCAAGUCGAACGGCAGCACGGGUGCUUGCACCUGGUGGCGAGUGGCGAACGGGUGAGUAAUACAUCGGAACAUGUCCUGUCGUGGGGGAUAGCCCGGCGAAAGCCGGAUUAAUACCGCAUACGAUCUACGGAUGAAAGCGGGGGCCCUUCGGGCCUCGCGCUAUAGGGUUGGCCGAUGGCUGAUUAGCUAGUUGGGGGGGUAAAGGCCUACCAAGGCGACGAUCAGUAGCUGGUCUGAGAGGACGACCAGCCACACUGGGACUGAGACACGGCCCAGACUCCUACGGGAGGCAGCAGUGGGGAAUUUUGGACAAUGGGCGAAAGCCUGAUCCAGCAAUGCCGCGUGUGUGAAGAAGGCCUUCGGGUUGUAAAGCACUUUUGUCCGGAAAGAAAUCCUUGGCUCUAAUACAGUCGGGGGAUGACGGUACCGGAAGAAUAAGCACCGGCUAACUACGUG